CACAGUUCGGGUUCGGGUGAGGCGUGACGGUUUGAUGGAUUCGUGUACCCACAGGGGACUGGAGAUCGAGGAGGCUUAACUGUUUUUUUUGAAGAUCAAUAUGGAUCUCGUCUCGUGUUGCCAUCAUUUCUUUUAGCAUAUAUUGGAUAAAAUCUGAAAUGGUUCGAAGCCCACCCAUAAAAUGUCAUGAGGAACUAUGCACCAGAAUCACUGAUCGAAACUGCUUUCAAGAAGGUAAGUUUUUUGGUUUCUGACUAAAAUCUAAACAAAGAGUCAAAAUAUGUGAUAUUGAUCAAAAACUAAUAAAACAAGAUUUGUGAAAUAUGAAAUUUGGCCAUUUAUGUAAAGUGUUGAGUCUUGAGAGCUUGAGUGCAAAAUCCAUGACUCUUUGGAGUGUCUAGGAUCAUUUGUACGAAGCUUUAAGACGUGUAUAAGUGAAUAAAUUGCAAGUUGAUCUCCUUUGGCUCCAUAUAUGAUGAGUAAGGAUCCUGCGGGUUCAAGGUGUACUAAAGUCCGUCUAGUUCACAUCUUGUGAGGAUCUAGAUGAUCUCCUGGAUUCCAUAUAUAGCUUUGGGGUGCAUCCAAAUGAUAGUAAAUAAUAGUUUUCUUAUUUGGUUCUAACUUAUACGUAGAUUAAUGCGCAUGAUCCAAAUACAUGAAUUAACUUUUUCGACUAACUACCUUCAUUGGUAGUGUAUUUUCAUUAGGAAUUCACUUUCCAUGAUAAUGUUUGGGAGAAACAAGUAAUCCAAGAUUUUUUUGAUUGAUGCAAUUUGUUACUAAGACUGGCUACUAAAGAAUCAUUUGCAAAGGUUAAUCUUCACAUCGGAGAAGAGAUAAAUAAAAGAAAAUAACAUUGCAUUUGUUAUUUUUCUAGAAGACUUUGUUAUUGAACAAAUUAUGUUAAAAUUGUUAUGUGGUCAUGUUUAAGAUGUAGAGUGUCUUGUUAGAUAGUUUCAAACACAUCAUUCUAUGUUGUUGUUUUGAAUUUCACGGCAACAUGGAUAUUUGUGAUUUGUUUGGAACCAUCUAACAAGACACUCCUCAUCAUAAUCAUGACCGCAUGGCAAUGGUUUGUUCACAAACAAAUUCUUCUCCGCAAAUAACAUUUGUGGCAUUCUCUUUUCUUCUGUUUCUUCGAUGUGAAAAUUAUCUUUAAUUGAUUCUUAAGUAAAAUGUCGUGGUAAAAGACUCCAUGAAUCAAAAGGAAUCUUGAAUUGCUUGUUGCUCCCAAAUAUUUUCAUGAUUAUGUAAUACUUUGAGGCGUAUUGAUUUGUAUGGUAACGGAAUUGGUAACUCUUCACUAGGGAUGUGAGAAUCAAUGUACGUAUGUCUAUUUUGUCUCUCGCAUAUCUGUUGCUCUGGUUCUUUCAGUAUUCGAGGUUCUGGAUGGAUAUAAUGCCACUUCAACAUCGCAAAAUUGCGGUCCUUUUUCUCGGAUUGCUUGAGAUGGUCUUUAAAUAAUUAGAUUAUGCAAAAUUUAGCAACACGGGGAUGAGGGCUCUAACCCUUGCUACAUAGGUUGUUAAGAUUGGUGCAUUUAGAAAGACUGUUUACCAGUACCACAUCCUCAUAUUCUGUGUGUUUCAUGGGAUUUGGGGUUGUCAAAUCCACUCUUGGUGGUCUCACCUCUAAAGUCCUUCUCGUUGGAGUUACUUACUUCAUAGCUUCUGAGAUGCUUGAUAACAGUUACAGGUAUAUAUCUCUUCCUUUCCAAAUUAGCAACUUUGUGAUCAGGCUCUAUAAGUUGCAAGGUUUUGAUGCAAGACUGUUUUUACAGUUUAAUCCAUUGUUUUGUUGAUAAUGGAAUAUGUGGUAACUCUCUAACACGGAUGUGCGAAUAAAUGCACACCGAUGCUGCAAGUUGAAAUAAAUAUAGCUUGAUGGAUGAAUGCUUCUUCACGUCUUGCAAUAAUGGAAGAGUACAAGGAAGUAGCUGAAGAGUUUCAAAUUGAAACAUGUUUUGUAAGAUACUAGUUUCAAAGACUUGCAAAUUGCAUCAGAAUGAUCUGGUUCUCAUUAGCUCUAAUGCGGUUUAUAAAGAUACAAUGAAAACUGAAACAGAACCGAAAAGAUAGGACACGACGCAACUAGCUCAACUAGUUCCACUUACAACGGGAAAAUAGCAAAACAACUUUGACACAUUCUAACCAGAAGAAUAGGUCUCUUAUUGACUUAAACUUACUCAACAUGUUUACUCUUCAUAAUGGCUCAGCUGAAGAAAAGGAUGGAGCUGUGGCUAUUUGGUUGCAUUCACUGAACCAGAAAAACUAUCCUGAUCGACGAACCGAUGGAUACAAACGGGAUGAAGAUUAGUGAAAAGCCUCUGAACAAAUGAUCCAUGAAGAGAAAACUACAGUGAAAGAGAACACUAACGGCAUUGGAGAGGAAAGAUGAAAUCUCUGAAGCAAAGAUUAUGGAAGAGAGGAUUACACUAGAA